UUAAAUAAUGUCAAAUCUGUCCUUUGGUGGACUAUUUUGAUAAGCUAAAGUAGAUCGACCAUAAAUCUUUGCUCCAAUAUCGGAUUUGGGUGAAAUUGGUAUCGUUGGAAAGAUAAUUCAAAGGGCUUUCAUUUCAUAUAAAGUAGGCCACCCAGUUCGUCCUGUACAAGGAGUUAUGAUCGUUUGAAGUUGACCCUAAAAAUCUGUUUUGAGAGGCUGAAGUAAAAUGAGUACAACUCCUUACUUAGACGUUGGAUUUG
rnacentral:lncRNA from 1 species